AAUUAACACAAAUGCUUUCUUUUCAAAAUAGUCAGGUGGAUAAGAAGCAAGAAUUAUUUGAACUAAUAUCAAUAAUGUUUAUUCAAGAAAUAAAGCACAUGGUAUCGACUAUUCCGGACUAACUUUGGGAAGUCAAGCCGU